CCUACGGGAGGCAGCAGUGGGGAAUAUUGCACAAUGUGGGAAACCCUGAUGCAGCGACGCCGCGUGAGUGAAGAAGUAUUUCGGUAUGUAAAGCUCUAUCAGCAGGGAAGAAAUAGCGACCUUUGGGUCGCCAGACGGUACCUGAUUAAGACACCCCGGCUAACUACGUGCCAGCAGCCGCGGUAAUACGUAGGGGGCAGGCGUUAUCCGGAUUUACGGGGUGUAAAGGGAGAGUAGACGGCAGCGCAAGUCUGAACUGAAUUGCCGGGGCUUAACCCCGGAACUGCUUUGGAAUCUGUGCAGCUAGAGUGCAGUAGAGGUAAGUGGAAUUCCUAGUGUAGCGGUG
rnacentral:rRNA from 1 species